UGACCGCUACACUGCUUAUCUC
rnacentral:snRNA from 1 species